UACGGGUAGCGCAAGUGUUAUUCCUCUUGAUUGGGCGUAAAGGGUGUGUAGGUGGUAUAAUAAGUUAAACAUGAAAAACUAUGUUGAUCAAUUGAUAAUUUUUAAAACUAUUAUGCUUGAGUAAUAAUAAAAAUAGCGGAACUUCCUGCAUCAGAUUUGAAAUGCGUUUAUACGGGGGGGAACCCCAAAGGCGAAAGCAGCUAUUUAAUUAUUUCUGACACUGAGACACAAAGGCAUGGGUAUCAAAUAGG
rnacentral:rRNA from 1 species